rnacentral:lncRNA from 10 species
GCUGUUUCUAGCUCUCGCCAUCCCUCGGCGUACUCUUCCUCUCCUCCGAGUCAGAGUACCCUGGAGGGAUAAUGCUCUGCAGAUGAGGUUCUUGCUAUGUUGCCUAGGCUGGUCUUGAACUUCUGGCCUCAAGAAAUCCUCCUCCUGAUCCUCCUACCUCAGCCUUCCAAAGUGUUGGGAUUACAGCACUGGCUAGAACUUCCAUCCCUGUGGUGAAUAAGAGUGAUGAAAGUGGACACCAUCGUAUUAUUGAAUUGAAGGGGUCUGUGUACAAAUUUCGCUUCUUAUAAGGACACCAGUGAUACUGAAUUUGGGUCCAUCCUAAUGACCUCAUUGUACUGUAAUUAUCUUUUUGAAGAUUCUGUCUCCAAAUACAGACACAUUCUGAGGCACCAGAGGUUACGACUUCCAACAUACGAACUUUGGAUGAAAACGAUUCAGCCCGAAGCACCUGGUCUCCAUCCCCAUCCCUAGGAAUCCUUUUCUCUGUUUCCUAGUAACUCUGUGCCUCAGUGUCUUCAUCUGUGAAAUGGCAUCGAUAGAAAUAUUUUAAGGAAUACAUGAGUUGAGCUCACGAAGCAGUACCUGACACAGAGUAAACGUUCAGUAGGUAUUAGCUAUUAUGGUGGCAAUCAUUUCAACUUUCUGACAAGUGCCCUUGAAAUUUCCUUUUCGUCUCCCUACACCAGGAUUGUUUUCUUUUUUCUGUCUUUUUCUUUUGAGACAGAGUCUUACUCUGUUACUCAGGCUGGAGUGCAGUACCACCUUUGCCUCCCAGGUUCAAGCGAUUCUCCCGCCUCAGCCUCCCGAGUAGCUGGGAUUACAGGCACCCGCCCCCAUGCCCAGCUAAUUUUUGUAGUUUUAGUAGAGACAGGGUUUUGCCAUGUUGGCCAGGCUGGUCUCGAACUCCUGACCUCAGGUGAUCUAGCUGACUUGGCCUCCCAAAGUGCUGGAAUUACAGUUGUGAGCCUCUGUGCCCGGUCCCUACACCAGGAUUGUUAAAGUGUGAUCAGGUGACCACCAGCAUGAAAAUUCUCAAUGGUGGGAUGAAUCUGAGAUGGCCUCAGGUCUAAGAAGCCCAGCCCUGGGGUGGGUGCGGCAGUUUCUUAAGACAACAACCUCCUGAGAACAGGGACUAUGUCUGAGACAUCCGUGAAUCCUGGACCUCUCCCACUUGGGGCUUGGAGCCCGUGUUCAUCCAGUGCUUACUGCACCAGCUGACAGCUGGACGUUUUAGAUGGGAGAGGAGGGAGACAUCAUCCAGGGUACGGUAUGAUGAAACAAAAUACAAGGUACAAAUGACGUUUUGGACAUUUCCUAAAUGAAGAAGCUGAGGAGGAGAGUGCUGUCAGCUUGACCAAUUUAUAGUUUUGAAUUUGUGCCCAGAAGCUGUUUUCAGAGAGGAUAUUUUUAGAAAUAUGAAAAUAAAUACAAUUAAAUUAGAGAGAUAUGUCAAGUAUUUUUUUUCUUGUUUUAAGACUGUCCUCUGACCAUUACAGCUUAGGUAGUGACAACUCUUUGAAUAACAGUGCCGUAUUUUCUAAUUAAACAAUCAAGGCUCUCCAGUCAUUAC